rnacentral:rRNA from 1 species
CCAGACUCCUACGGGAGGCAGCAGUGGGGAAUAUUGCACAAUGGGGGAAGCCCUGAUGCAGCAACGCCGCGUGGGUGAAGGAGCGUUUCGGCGCGUAAAGCCCUGUCAGCGGGGAAGAAGAAAGACGGUACCCGACCAAGAAGCCCCGGCUAACUACGUGCCAGCAGCCGCGGUAAUACGUAGGGGGCGAGCGUUAUCCGGAUUCACUGGGUGUAAAGGGAGCGUAGACGGCCAUGCAAGCCAGGGGUGAAAGCCCGGGGCCCAACCCCGGGACUGCCCUUGGAACUGCAUGGCUGGAGUGCGGGAGGGGCAGGCGGAAUUCCUGGUGUAGCGGUGGAAUGCGUAGAUAUCAGGAAGAACACCAGUGGCGAAGGCGGAUGACUGGACGGCAACUGACGGUGAGGCGCGAAAGCGUGGGGAGCAAACAGGAUUAGAUACCCCGGUACAC